UGGCUCAGUGGUAGAGCGCUUGCCUUGCAUGCAUGAGGUCCUGGGUUCGAUUCUUCAG
rnacentral:tRNA from 1 species